UUCUCUUUUAAGUGAAAAA
rnacentral:snRNA from 1 species